GGUUCGGAACGUGCGACGCACCCUGCAAGAAGUCGUGAUUUCCUCAGAAAGCGACAGCUACGUCGACCAAGUGAUCUAUCUGAGGAGUUCCUUGAAACCCGGAGAGAUGGCGUUAUCUGCCGCUGGUUUCUUCUCCUUGAAAUUACCGACGCUCGUUUCGCUUGCCGGAGCAAUGAUCACGUACACGGUCAUUCUCGUUCAGACAAGUGAGACUGUGAAGA